rnacentral:lncRNA from 1 species
GGAAAUGAUAUUGGUCCAUAAUCAAUGAAAUUGAUAACACUCUAGAUUACGAAGUUACUUUAAUAUUAAGGAAUGGGAUUGAAAUCAAUGAAUAUAUAGAAAUGGUAUUGAUCCAUCAAUAAUCAAUUCAAUUGACAAUACUCUAUAUUACGAAGUAUAUUAAGGAAUGGGAAUGAAAUCAAUGAAUAUUGAUCGAUGAUCGAUAUUAAGAAAUGGUAUUGGUCCAUAAUCAAUGAAAUUGACAACACUCUAGAUUACGAAGUAUGUUGAGGAAUGGGAAUGAAAUCAAUGAAUAUAUUGAUCGGUGAUCGAUAUUAAGAAAUGGUAUUGUCCCAUAAUCAAUGAAAUUGACAACACUCUAGAUUACGAAGUAUGUUAAGGAAUGGGAAUGAAACCAAUGAAUAUAUUGAUCGGUGAUCGAUAUUAAGAAAUGAUAUUGAUCCAAAAUCAAUGAAAUUGAUAACACUCUAGAUUGCGAAGUUACUUUAAUAUUAAGGAAUGGGAAUAAAAUCGAUGAAUAUAUAAAAAUGGUAUUGUUCCAUCAGUAAUUAAUGAAAUUGACAAUACUCUAGAUUGCGAAGUAUGUGAAGAAAUGAGAAUGAAAUCAAUGAAUAUAUUGAUCAGUGAUCGAUAUUAAGAAAUGGUAUUGCCAGGUCCAUCAAUAAUCAAUUAAAUUGACAAUACUCUAUAUUACGAAGUAUAUUAAGGAAUGGGAAUGAAAUCAAUGACUAUAUUGAUCGGUGAUCGAUAUUAAGAACACUCUAGAUUACGAAUAUUGACAACACUCUAGAUUACGAAGUAUAUUUAAAUAAGGAAUGGUAUUUACUGAUGAUUCAUAAUGUGACUACUAUGAAACUGUAGUAUAUUUACUAAUUUACAAGAUAUAGCCAGAGGUGGAAAAUGUAUUUUUCUUUCUGGCAACCUGGGUUUAGGUCUCAAAAUUUUCUGCAAAAGAUUACAAUAAAUAGGGGAAAAUAUUUAGUACAAAAUUGUUGUUUGUGAC